rnacentral:lncRNA from 1 species
CGGGAGGGCAGGAGGGCGGGUGGGUGCGGGAACACAGACCCGAUGCGCGAGCGGGAGCUGGCGCAGGGGAUCCGAACUGGCGAGUUCAAGUCACCUGGGAUGAGAACAGAAGUGUCAGCAGAGGACUGUAAGUGCUAUGUGAUUGGACGACGGUGGCCAUAGAAUUUCACCUGCCCAGCACGUAUUCUCUCAUCCUCUCCUCCUCUGCCUUCUUUGGGAGGGAGAAAUCAGAAGGAGUGGGGAUGCAGUUCAGAGAGCAGAGGAGAAGAGAAGAAAAGAAGGAAGAAGGAAGAGGACUAGGGUUGGGUGGGGGGGGAGGACACCAAUGGGAAGAGGGACAGAUCAACUCUAUACACAAAAGUAAAUCAAAACACCAAAAACAGGGGUCUAUGUAAAGAAGCCUCUUCCCGUGAAUUGCUCGUUGCAUAGCUGCAGGGAGGGUGUUUAGGGGCAUAGAGAAUGAAAACAUACCUGUAUUUUGGUGUAGGGAAAUUGUUUCUGUCAAUUCACACCGUCCACACACCACCUCCCACCCCAACCCCGCCACUACCAAAUUCCUCUAAAUAAAAAUAAUUAUGAGAUACAGGCCAACAAAAACGUCAGCGUUAGGCUGUUAUUUAGAGAGAAUUGGAAAGCGUUUGAAUGUGGCCCUGUUGUUUAAUAAACGAUAACAAUGAUUACUAAGUUGUCCUGAGUCA